GCUAAGAAAAGGAAGAGAUGAGGUUAGUCAAUGUGGGGCAUUUCAAAAUAUGUUCUUUCCUAAUACAGGACAGGGACUGCUACUGUAUUUCUCCAUUGUAAGAUAGUUUGCAUUUCCUGAGCCUGUCUCUUUGUCUCACCCAGCUACUAACAUUAGAGGACCAGACACUUUUUCCACUGAGUAGGUAUGCUCUAAGACCUACCGUAAAAGAGUUCACAAAUUAACUCCUGCUUGGGUGAGGGAGAAUGGCAGACGGCAAAUAAAUAAAACUAAACUUUGCAGGUGAGUCUGUGUAUGUGGGGGAAUACUGACUGCAUCACAUUACCUACAGACAGGGAUGUUGCUCACUUGCCAAUAGCUGGAAGUUUUAAUUAGCCACACUGAGGGCAGCUCAGUUCCUAACACUUGACCUCUCUGAUCCCUUACAGACAGAAUCCGCCAACCUUCAGAGCAUGGUGCAAGACACUUUGAUCAGGGCUACAGCGUAGACAGGUGGCAGUGCUGUGUGACAAUGACAACAACCAGUUAGACCGAGCCAGCAAGACAUCUUGGAUGGGAACAGUCUCCAUAUUAAAAGUGGCUGCACUUCACUGGUGCCGGCAGCCGCAGGAUCCAAUCCUCCAUUUGGUGAGAUUUGAGUGAGGAAUCUGACCUAUCGUUUGUCAAAGGCUUUGGGAUCCUUUUGGAAUUAAAGGCAUGAUAGAAAGUCUUACCUGAAGAGAACAGGGUGAAGGUACCCAGGACAAGUAAGGUGGCUGUGGCUGCCUUCAUGAUGACGACAAUGCAGCAGUAAUCCCACUAUACCCGAAGCCUCCUCUUGUCUCAUACCAGGGAUUCCAAUGCAAUGACUGGAGCUGCUGACAGAAAACAAGAGGGGUUAGGCAUCAGCACAAGAAACCAAUAGAAACAACAGAGAAGACUGAAAAAUGGAUGGUGUGUCUGAGUAGGCAGGAGGAAUGGCAGCCAGCCAUGAGGUGAGAGGAGGAUUAAGGAGGCGCAAGAGGCCCUAUUCCUAGGCAUCGAUGGAAAGCAUUAGUGUAUGUUAUGCUCUACCAUGCGCAGGCCUCUCUUGGAGGUACAAUCCUGACAACAUUCAGGCAGACACAAUGUGGGAGCAUGCAAUAUCCUGGUGCCUAAUUUUUUGCUGUAGGCUUCCAGCAGUAACUUCAGGCUCACAAACACCACCUGGACCCUGAACAGAACUCAUUAGUUGCCUUGUCUGUGCUUGUGAGUCUGUACCUUAAUGUUCACCCUUUUUACAAACUAGAUUUUGUACAAAGUAUGCCUUGUGCUGUAUCAUUUGAAAACUCAUCUGGUGAACGCUACUGUCCUGGUAAAAUGUGUGUGGCAACGUUGUACGUGAAGUUAUAAAGUUCUAUUGUAUAAGACAUGUUCCAAGUCUGGGGAAACCACUUCAACCGGUUCCCCAGAUACAAAAGGCUAGCCAACACCUAAGCUAGGUGUCAACAUAAUCAAAUGGACUAUCACCUUCGUAAUGGAACAGCUGGAGGUUCCCUUGCAAACAGACUUUCUGUUGCCUGAACCCCAGCUGGAGAUGAGUCUCAAAUACGAGAAUUGCUAUAAGAAAUGGGAGCAAAUUCCCCAGAUUUUCUCUCUGCCCUGAACAUCCACAACGUCUGAAAGACAAGGAAAGGAGCACUGGACUGGGGGAGGAGUUCUGGCUGAAAGGCAUCCGAUAAGACUGCAAAACCAUCUGAUGAGAGAGACAUUUUGCUUUGAAUUCACUUAGCUUGUUAAGUGAGAUAUUAGUUCAUCUUGCCUUUUAUUUUUUUAUAGCCAAAUUCUGACUUUUAUGCCUCAUUACUUGUAAUCACUUAAUCUUUCAGUCAUUAAUAAACUCGUUUUAUUGUUUUAUCUAA